UGACCUCGAAUCAGGCAGGGAUACCCGCUGAACUUAAGCAUAU
rnacentral:rRNA from 1 species